GUGUCAGCAGCCGCGGUAAUACGGAGGAUGCAAGCGUUAUCCGGAAUUAUUGGGCGUAAAGCGUCCGUAGGUGGUUAUGCAAGUCUGCUGUUAAAGAGUGGAGCUUAACUCCAUAGAGGCGGUGGAAACUGCAUAGCUAGAGAGUGGUAGGGGUAGAGGGAAUUCCCAGUGUAGCGGUGAAAUGCGUAGAUAUUGGGAAGAACACCGGUGGCGAAAGCGCUCUACUGGGCCACAUCUGACACUGAUGGACGAAAGCUAGGGGAGCGAAAGGGAUUAGAAACCCGUGUAGUCC
rnacentral:rRNA from 1 species